rnacentral:rRNA from 1 species
GACGAACGAUGGCGGCGUGCCUAAUACAUGCAAGUCGAACGCAGUGGGGACGGGUGAGUAACACGUGGGUAACCUCCCAUCAGAGGGGAUAACACUUGGAAACAGGUGAUAACACGCUACUGAUGGAUGGACCCGCGGUGCAUUAGCUAGUUGGUGAGGUAACGGCUCAACAAGGCCACGAUGACUAGCCGACCUGAGAGGGGGAUCGGCGAGCCUGGGACGUAGACACGGCCACGACUCCGACGGUAGGCAGCAGUAGGUACUCUGCGGUAAGUAACGAAAGUCUGACCGAGCAACGCCGCGUGAGUGAAGAAGUUUUUCGGAUCGUAAAACUCUGUUGGUAGAGAAGCGGUAUCUAACCAGAAAGCCACGGCUAACUACGGGCCAGCAGCCGCGGUAAUAC